CACGUAGGGCGCAAGCGUUGUCCGGAAUUAUUGGGCGUAAAGAGCUCGUAGGCGGUCUGUUGCGUCCGCUGUGAAAACUCGGGGCUCAACCUCCAGCCUGCAGUGGGUACGGGCAGACUAGAGUGCGGUAGGGGAGAUUGGAAUUCCUGGUGUAGCGGUGGAAUGCGCAGAUAUCAGGAGGAACACCGAUGGCGAAGGCAGAUCUCUGGGCCGUAACUGACGCUGAGGAGCGAAAGCAUGGGGGAGCGAACAGG
rnacentral:rRNA from 1 species